CAGCCGCCACGGUAAUACGAAGGGGGCUAGCGUUGUUCGGAUUUACUGGGCGUAAAGCGCACGUAGGCGGAUCGAUCAGUCAGGGGUGAAAUCCUGGAGCUCAACUCCAGAACUGCCUUUGAUACUGUCGAUCUCGAGUCCGGAAGAGGUGGGUGGAACUCCUAGUGUAGAGGUGGAAUUCGUAGAUAUUAGGAAGAACACCAGUGGCGAAGGCGGCUCACUGGUCCGGUACUGACGCUGAGGUGCGAAAGCGUGGGGAGCAAACAGGAUUAGAGACCCCCGUAGUCCCUGUCUCUUAUAC
rnacentral:rRNA from 1 species